GACACGGCCCAGACUCCUACGGGAGGCAGCAGUGGGGAAUAUUGCACAAUGGGCGGAAGCCUGAUGCAGCAACGCCGCGUGCGGGAUGACGGCCUUCGGGUUGUAAACCGCUUUCAGCAGGGGCGAAGCUUUUGUGACGGUACCUGCAGAAGAAGCACCGGCUAACUACGUGCCAGCAGCCGCGGUGAUACGUAGGGUGCGAGCGUUGUCCGGAUUUAUUGGGCGUAAAGAGCUCGUAGGUGGUUGAUUGCGUCGGAAGUGAAAACUUGGGGCUUAACCCUGAGCGUGCUUUCGAUACGGGUUGACUUGAGGAAGGUAGGGGAGAAUGGAAUUCCUGGUGGAGCGGUGGAAUGCGCAGAUAUCAGGAGGAACACCAGUGGCGAAGGCGGUUCUCUGGACCUUUCCUGACGCUGAGGAGCGAAAGCGUGGGGAGCGAACAGGCUUAGAUACCCUGGUAGUCCACGCUGUAAACGGUGGGUACUAGGUGUGGGGUCCAUUCCACGGAUUCCGUGCCGUAGCUAACGCAUUAAGUACCCCGCCUGGGGAGUACGGCCGCAAGGCUAAAACUCAAAGGAAUUGACGGGGCCCCGCACAAGCGGCGGAGCAUGCGGAUUAAUUCGAUGCAACGCGAAGAACCUUACCUGGGUUUGACAUGGACUGGGAGUGCUCAGAGAUGGGUACGCCUCCUUGUGGGGCUGGUUCACAGGUGGUGCAUGGCUGUCGUCAGCUCGUGUCGUGAGAUGUUGGGUUAAGUCCCGCAACGAGCGCAACCC
rnacentral:rRNA from 1 species